rnacentral:SRP_RNA from 1 species
GCAGGGCGUGGUGGCGCACGCCUGUAAUCCCAGCUACUCAGGAGGCUGAGGCAGGAGAAUCGCUUGAACUCGGGAGGUGAAGGUUGCAGUGAGCUGAGAUCACGCCACUGCACUCCAGCCUGGGUGACAGAGUGAGAUUCUGUCUCAG